CUGCUGCCUCCCGUAGGAGUCUGGGCCGUGUCUCAGUCCCAGUGUGGGGGGCCUUCCUCUCAGAACCCCUACGCAUCGUCGCCACGGUGGGCCGUCACCCCGCCGUCUAGCUAAUGCGCCGCAUGCCCAUCCGCCACCGGAUCGCUCCUUUGGCCACCGGAGGAUGCCCUCCGGUGGCGUCACGGGGUAUUAGGCCGCGUUUCCGCGGGUUAUCCCCCUGUGGCGGCCAGGUUGCAUACGUAUUACUCACCCGUGCGCCGGUCGCCCGGG
rnacentral:rRNA from 1 species